rnacentral:tRNA from 1 species
GCCUUCCUGGUGUAGUGGUCAGCACGCUGGGCGAAUAUUCCAGAGGUCCGUGGUUCGAGUCCCGGCGAAGUCA